rnacentral:rRNA from 1 species
UUCAACAAUGAGCGAGUGGCGAACUGGUGAGUAACACGUGGGGAAUCUGCCCAGAAGCAGGGGAUAACACUUGGAAACAGGUGCUAAUACCGUAUAACAACAAAAUCCGCAUGGAUUUUGUUUGAAAGGUGGCUUCGGCUAUCACUUCUGGAUGAUCCCGCGGCGUAUUAGUUAGUUGGUGAGGUAAAGGCCCACCAAGACGAUGAUACGUAGCCGACCUGAGAGGGUAAUCGGCCACAUUGGGACUGAGACACGGCCCAAACUCCUACGGGAGGCAGCAGUAGGGAAUCUUCCACAAUGGACGAAAGUCUGAUGGAGCAAUGCCGCGUGAGUGAAGAAGGGUUUCGGCUCGUAAAACUCUGUUGUUAAAGAAGAACACCUUUGAGAGUAACUGUUCAAGGGUUGACGG